AGUGUGAGUACUGUAGGGACUGCUGAGGGACUGUAAAUACUGUAAGUAGUGUGAGUACUGUAGGGACUGCUGAAGGUACUGUAGGUACUGUAGGGACUGCUGAAGGGACUGUAGGGACUGCUGUACCUACUGUAGGUACUGUAGGGACUGCUGAGGGACUGUAAAUACUGUAAGUAGUGUGAGUACUGUAGGGACUGCUGAAGGUACUGUAGGUACUGUAGGGACUGCUGAAGGGACUGUAGGGACUGCUGUACCUACUGUAUGUACUGUAGGGACUGCUGAAGGGACUGUAGGUACUGUAGGGACUGCUGAGGGACUGUAAAUACUGUAAGUAGUGUGAGUACUGUAGGGACUGCUGAAGGUACUGUAGGUACUGUAGGGACUGCUGAAGGGACUGUAGGGACUGCUGUACCUACUGUAGGUACUGUAGGGACUGUAGGGACUGCUGAAGGUACUGUAUGUACUGUAGGGACUGCUGAAGGGACUGUAGGGACUGCUGUACCUACUGUAGGUACUGUAGGGACUGUAGGGACUGCUGAAGGUACUGUAGGUACUGUAGGGACUGCUGAAGGUACUGUAGGGACUGUAGGGACUGCUGUACCUACUGUAGGUACUGUAGGUACUGUAGGGACUGCUGAAGGUACUGUAGGUACUGUAGGGACUGCUGAAGGGACUGUAGGGACUGCUGAAGGUACUGUAGGUACUGUAGGGACUGCUGAAGGUACUGUAGGUACUGUAGGGACUGCU